GAAAUGCGAAACCUAGUGUGAUACGCAACGAUCGUGAAUCAUCAAGUCUUUGAACGCAUAUUGCACUCUGUCUAACCGCAGAGUAUACCUGUUUGAGUAUCAGAUGUCCUUUUCAGCGAGCAAUCGCUGGUUAAUGGGUGUUGUGCAGCCGCAAGGCUGCUCACCUUAAAUGUAGGCAGGUCCACACGGCCAGUUCCAGGUGUCCAAGGUUGUAAAAGACCAAGUUCACUGUAGUACUGCGCAGUAUCACGGACUUCGCUCCCACUCACACAUCAAUCAAUUGAUCUCAAAUCAGGCAGGAUCACCCGCUGAACUUAA
rnacentral:misc_RNA from 1 species